rnacentral:pre_miRNA from 1 species
CUCGCAGAGGUGAUUGGCAUUCUGUCCACCUCCAGCCACAUCCAUCUCUCACGAACAAGGAGAAGCAUACGGAUGGAGGUGGGCAUCCUGCCAACUGAACUCUGCUAG